rnacentral:rRNA from 1 species
AUUGAACGCUGGCGGCAUGCCUUACACAUGCAAGUCGAACGGUAACAGGUCUUCGGAUGCUGACGAGUGGCGAACGGGUGAGUAAUACAUCGGAACGUGCCCGAUCGUGGGGGAUAACGGAGCGAAAGCUUUGCUAAUACCGCAUACGAUCUACGGAUGAAAGCAGGGGACCGCAAGCUCUGCGCGGACGGAGCGGCCGA